rnacentral:RNase_P_RNA from 1 species
CCAGACGGUCGGACGGUCGCCGGCGGCCUUAUGGCCGCGGGAGGAAAGUCCGGGCUCCAUGGAGACAAGGCGCCGGGUAACGCCCGGCCGGGCCUCUUAGGGAUAAGGGGCCUGAGGGAAAGCGCCACAGAGAAUGAACCGCCUCUUCACGAGGCAAGGGUGAAAAGGUGCGGUAAGAGCGCACCGCCGGACCAGCAAUGGGACGGGCAUGGCAAGCCCCGCCUGGAGCAAGACCGAAUAGGGAUGACGCGCCGAAAGGCAGGCGGGUUUCCGCGCCGAGUCGUCCGGGUUGGUUGCUUGAGCGCGUCAGCAAUGGCGCGCCUAGAGGAAUGGCCGUCGUUCCGCACUUGAUGCGGGAUACAGAACCCGGCUUACAGACCGUCUGGCGAC